CAGGCCUAACACAUGCAAGUCGAGCGGAUGAGGAGAGCUUGCUCUUCGAUUCAGCGGCGGACGGGUGAGUAAUGCCUAGGAAUCUGCCUGGUAGUGGGGGACAACGUUUCGAAAGGAACGCUAAUACCGCAUACGUCCUACGGGAGAAAGCAGGGGACCUUCGGGCCUUGCGCUAUCAGAUGAGCCUAGGUCGGAUUAGCUUGUUGGUGAGGUAAUGGCUCACCAAGGCGACGAUCCGUAACUGGUCUGAGAGGAUGAUCAGUCACGCUGGAACUGAGACACGGUCCAGACUCCUACGGGAGGCAGCAGUGGGGAAUAUUGGACAAUGGGCGAAAGCCUGAUCCAGCCAUGCCGCGUGUGUGAAGAAGGUCUUCGGAUUGUAAAGCACUUUAAGUUGGGAGGAAGGGCAGUCAGCGAAUACCUGGUUGUUUUGACGUUACCGACAGAAUAAGCACCGGCUAACUCUGUGCCAGCAGCCGCGGUAAU
rnacentral:rRNA from 1 species